rnacentral:rRNA from 1 species
CCUACGGGUGGCAGCAGUGGGGAAUAUUGGACAAUGGGCGAAAGCCUGAUCCAGCCAUGCCGCGUGUGUGAAGAAGGCCUUCGGGUUGUAAAGCACUUUCAGUGGGGAAGAAAGCCUUGGGGCUAAUACCCUCGAGGAAGGACAUCACCCACAGAAGAAGCACCGGCUAACUCCGUGCCAGCAGCCGCGGUAAUACGGAGGGUGCGAGCGUUAAUCGGAAUUACUGGGCGUAAAGCGCGCGUAGGCGGUCUGAUAAGCCGGUUGUGAAAGCCCCGGGCUCAACCUGGGAACGGCAUCCGGAACUGUCAGGCUAGAGUGCAGGAGAGGAAGGUAGAAUUCCCGGUGUAGCGGUGAAAUGCGUAGAGAUCGGGAGGAAUACCAGUGGCGAAGGCGGCCUUCUGGACUGACACUGACGCUGAGGUGCGAAAGCGUGGGUAGCAAACAGGAUUAGAUACCGAGUAGUC